AGGCUCUAUUUCCAUCAUAUCACAAUCAACAUGUACAGGAUCCAUUAUUAGUUCUGUUGCUAUUGCAGUACCUAUCACUGGUUUAUUAACUGGACUCAUUACAUCUAUAAUUACUAGUAUCAUUGUAUACUGUAUAA